UACGUAGGGGGCAAGCGUUGUCCGGAAUCAUUGGGCGUAAAGAGCGCGUAGGCGGCCCUGUAAGUCCGCUGUGAAAGUCAAGGGCUCAACCCUUGGAUGCCGGUGGAUACUGCAGGGCUAGAGUCCGGAAGAGGCGAGUGGAAUUCCUGGUGUAGCGGUGAAAUGCGCAGAUAUCAGGAGGAACACCAAUAGCGAAGGCAGCUCGCUGGGACGGUACUGACGCUAAGGCGCGAAAGCGUGGGGAGCGAACAGG
rnacentral:rRNA from 1 species